UUAAGCGACUAAGCGUACACGGUGGAUGCCCUGGCAGUCAGAGGCGAUGAAGGACGUGCUAAUCUGCGAUAAGCGUCGGUGAGGUGAUAUGAACCGUUAUAACCGGCGAUUUCCGAAUGGGGAAACCCAGUGUGUUUCGACACACUAUCAUUAACUGAAUCCAUAGGUUAAUGAGGCGAACCGGGGGAACUGAAACAUCUAAGUACCCCGAGGAAAAGAAAUCAACCGAGAUUCCCCCAGUAGCGGCGAGCGAACGGGGAGGAGCCCAGAGCCUGAAUCAGUGUGUGUGUUAGUGGAAGCGUCUGGAAAGGCGCGCGAUACAGGGUGACAGCCCCGUACACAAAAAUGCACAUAUUGUGAGCUCGAUGAGUAGGGCGGGACACGUGGUAUCCUGUCUGAAUAUGGGGGGACCAUCCUCCAAGGCUAAAUACUCCUGACUGACCGAUAGUGAACCAGUACCGUGAGGGAAAGGCGAAAAGAACCCCGGCGAGGGGAGUGAAAAAGAACCUGAAACCGUGUACGUACAAGCAGUGGGAGCCUCUUAAUGGGGUGACUGCGUACCUUUUGUAUAAUGGGUCAGCGACUUAUAUUCUGUAGCAAGGUUAACCGAAUAGGGGAGCCGAAGGGAAACCGAGUCUUAACUGGGCGUUAAGUUGCAGGGUAUAGACCCGAAACCCGGUGAUCUAGCCAUGGGCAGGUUGAAGGUUGGGUAACACUAACUGGAGGACCGAACCGACUAAUGUUGAAAAAUUAGCGGAUGACUUGUGGCUGGGGGUGAAAGGCCAAUCAAACCGGGAGAUAGCUGGUUCUCCCCGAAAGCUAUUUAGGUAGCGCCUCGUGAAUUCAUCUCCGGGGGUAGAGCACUGUUUCGGCAAGGGGGUCAUCCCGACUUACCAACCCGAUGCAAACUGCGAAUACCGGAGAAUGUUAUCACGGGAGACACACGGCGGGUGCUAACGUCCGUCGUGAAGAGGGAAACAACCCAGACCGCCAGCUAAGGUCCCAAAGUCAUGGUUAAGUGGGAAACGAUGUGGGAAGGCCCAGACAGCCAGGAUGUUGGCUUAGAAGCAGCCAUCAUUUAAAGAAAGCGUAAUAGCUCACUGGUCGAGUCGGCCUGCGCGGAAGAUGUAACGGGGCUAAACCAUGCACCGAAGCUGCGGCAGCGACGCUUAUGCGUUGUUGGGUAGGGGAGCGUUCUGUAAGCCUGUGAAGGUGUGCUGUGAGGCAUGCUGGAGGUAUCAGAAGUGCGAAUGCUGACAUAAGUAACGAUAAAGCGGGUGAAAAGCCCGCUCGCCGGAAGACCAAGGGUUCCUGUCCAACGUUAAUCGGGGCAGGGUGAGUCGACCCCUAAGGCGAGGCCGAAAGGCGUAGUCGAUGGGAAACAGGUUAAUAUUCCUGUACUUGGUGUUACUGCGAAGGGGGGACGGAGAAGGCUAUGUUGGCCGGGCGACGGUUGUCCCGGUUUAAGCGUGUAGGCUGGUUUUCCAGGCAAAUCCGGAAAACCAAGGCUGAGGCGUGAUGACGAGGCACUACGGUGCUGAAGCGACAAAUGCCCUGCUUCCAGGAAAAGCCUCUAAGCAUCAGGUAACAUCAAAUCGUACCCCAAACCGACACAGGUGGUCAGGUAGAGAAUACCAAGGCGCUUGAGAGAACUCGGGUGAAGGAACUAGGCAAAAUGGUGCCGUAACUUCGGGAGAAGGCACGCUGAUAUGUAGGUGAAGCGACUUGCUCGUGGAGCUGAAAUCAGUCGAAGAUACCAGCUGGCUGCAACUGUUUAUUAAAAACACAGCACUGUGCAAACACGAAAGUGGACGUAUACGGUGUGACGCCUGCCCGGUGCCGGAAGGUUAAUUGAUGGGGUUAGCGGCAACGCGAAGCUCUUGAUCGAAGCCCCGGUAAACGGCGGCCGUAACUAUAACGGUCCUAAGGUAGCGAAAUUCCUUGUCGGGUAAGUUCCGACCUGCACGAAUGGCGUAAUGAUGGCCAGGCUGUCUCCACCCGAGACUCAGUGAAAUUGAACUCGCUGUGAAGAUGCAGUGUACCCGCGGCAAGACGGAAAGACCCCGUGAACCUUUACUAUAGCUUGACACUGAACAUUGAGCCUUGAUGUGUAGGAUAGGUGGGAGGCUUUGAAGUGUGGACGCCAGUCUGCAUGGAGCCGACCUUGAAAUACCACCCUUUAAUGUUUGAUGUUCUAACGUUGGCCCGUAAUCCGGGUUGCGGACAGUGUCUGGUGGGUAGUUUGACUGGGGCGGUCUCCUCCUAAAGAGUAACGGAGGAGCACGAAGGUUGGCUAAUCCUGGUCGGACAUCAGGAGGUUAGUGCAAUGGCAUAAGCCAGCUUGACUGCGAGCGUGACGGCGCGAGCAGGUGCGAAAGCAGGUCAUAGUGAUCCGGUGGUUCUGAAUGGAAGGGCCAUCGCUCAACGGAUAAAAGGUACUCCGGGGAUAACAGGCUGAUACCGCCCAAGAGUUCAUAUCGACGGCGGUGUUUGGCACCUCGAUGUCGGCUCAUCACAUCCUGGGGCUGAAGUAGGUCCCAAGGGUAUGGCUGUUCGCCAUUUAAAGUGGUACGCGAGCUGGGUUUAGAACGUCGUGAGACAGUUCGGUCCCUAUCUGCCGUGGGCGCUGGAGAACUGAGGGGGGCUGCUCCUAGUACGAGAGGACCGGAGUGGACGCAUCACUGGUGUUCGGGUUGUCAUGCCAAUGGCACUGCCCGGUAGCUAAAUGCGGAAGAGAUAAGUGCUGAAAGCAUCUAAGCACGAAACUUGCCCCGAGAUGAGUUCUCCCUGAGACUUAGAGUCUCCUGAAGGAACGUUGAAGACGACGACGUUGAUAGGCCGGGUGUGUAAGCGCAGCGAUGCGUUGAGCUAACCGGUACUAAUGAACCGUGAGGCUUAACCUU
rnacentral:rRNA from 2 species